GGCUGGCAUGGCCAUGUGGCUGGCACGCGUAAAACCACCCCUGGGUUCCGGCUGGUGGAGAAGUAUGCCAUGUUGGUGGGCGGCUUGUCCAUGCACAGACAGGAUCUGAGUGGGAUGGUGAUGCUGAAAGACAAUCAUAUAUGGGCAUCAGGGAGUAUCACACAGGCAGUGAGGGACGCCCGCUCGGUGUGUGGCUUCAGCAGUAAGAUUGAGGUGGAGUGCGGCAGCCGUGAGGAGGGCAGUGAGGCGGCCACGGCAGGAGCCGACAUUGUCAUGCUGGACAACUUUAAGCCACAGGUGAGACUGAUGAAGGACUUCCCAAAGCCAUCAGGGAAGUAAUGUAAGUAAUGUAGAGACGUACUGGAGGGCUUAUGAUAAAGCAGAAGAAAUAUUUCCGUUGGACAUUCAUGUACAUUGGACUAUCAAUGUAAUAUUCUUCUUCCUCCUGUAUGUCAGUGCUGUGCAUUUCGUUCAAUCUCUUCUUUCCUACACGGUCUCUUCCCGCACUCGUCUCUUCCGGCCUCUAUUCCUCGUCUGUCCCUUCCUCUCUCAGGAACUCCAUGCAGCAGCCCAGCUUCUGAAGGAGGAGUUCCCUUUUGUGCUAAUCGAGGCCAGUGGAGGGGUGACCUCAGACUCCCUGCCCCAGUAUUUCUCCCCCCAUGUGGACAUCAUCUCUCUGGGCUGCAUCACCCAGGGCUGCCCAGUGGUAGACUUCUCCCUCAAGAUUGAUCAAGAAAUGGGAGUGACCUGCUGCCAUGAAGAGGAACUCAAUGAGGAAAUGGACUGGAAUUAUGAAGUGACAGAUGGUGUUUCCCCUGCAGCAAAGGACAAUGUGGAUGGAGAUUUUACAGAUCUCAUCAAAAACUUCCACCAUCUGAACAUGUAUGGAGAUGAGAAGAUGGACUGGGUUGAUCAGGAAAUUGGAGUGACCUGCUGUCAGGAGGAGGACCACAAUGAGGAAAUGGACUGGAUCACCUCAAGAAAUCCCAGCUUCUGCAUCUGGAGAGAAAGAAAAGAUGAGGAAGACAGCCUUUAAAUGAAGACAGCCUUUAAAUGAAGACAGACUUUAAAUGAAGACAGCCUUUAAAAUCUUCAUUAGCUACCCAUCUGUUGGGUGGCUUGGUCAUCAAAACAUUGGCGUAGUUCACACUCCUGUUGUACAACGCAUCUCACACAUCAGCUGUGAUACACUUUAAGGAUCCUUUAAAUGGGUUUGUCUCCAUACAAACAAAUUGGCAAUAGUUGUGUAAAGAUCAGUUGUAUCACCUCAGUGUGAACUAGGCCACUGUAGCCUAAAUAUGGCAUUGGUACCCUCUUAGGGUUUUGUAAAUACUGUACAGUAGGAUAUAUGGUUAUACAAUCUAGACUGACAUGUAAAUAUGUUGAGUAUCUAUUUAUUUUCUCACUCAUCUGUCGUUUGUUGGCCUCUUUAAUAUUCUGGUAAGUGGUAUAGGUGUAGCCAAAGAGGCUUUAGUAAGUGUAGAUGUAGAUGUUGAUAUAUACACUGAGUGUACAAAACAUUAAGAACACCUGUUUGUAUCAAGAACUUCAACGCUGCUGGGUAUUUCCAUGCAAAAAAAUGUCCCGUGUGUAUCAAGAAUGGUCCACCGCCCCAAACGACAUUCAGCCAAGUUGACACAGCUGUUGGAAGCAUUGGAGUCAACAUGGGCUAGCAUCUCUGUGGAAUGCUUUCGACGCCUUAUAGAGUCCAUGCCCCGAUUAAUUGACGGUGUUCUGAGGGCAAAACGGGGGAACUCAAUAUUAGGAAUGUGUCCCUAUUGUUUUGUACACUCAGUGUAAAUAUUACCCCACAGCAUUCACUCUUCCCAUUAGUCCUUGGAUGUAUUUUUGUGUAGCUAAUUCUCCUCAGAAAAGUACAUCUGCUGUCUAUUUGUUUGUAAAUAUUUAUGUGUUCAGUGUCUUGUCUCCUUGUCAAAUGAGUGUCUGUCAAUUUAGUUGUAUUUCUGUAUCACAUUAAGUUAUCCUUCGAACAGGGAAAGGGUGGUGCCUAGUGGGGGUGGAGGGGUAAAAUAAAUCAACACAAACUAUGAAGUACUGAUAUUCA
rnacentral:lncRNA from 1 species